GAAUAUUGCACUGAAAAUUUCACUAUAGACUUUAUGUCCUUUUUUGCAAAAGUAAGAUAUGAUAAGAGACAUGAAGCGUUGUAUUUCAGGAGACACUCAUUUAUGAAAAUAAGGAGAUGAAUUAUGAUUGCCGAUGAGACAAAUAUCCACCAUAGUUCAAUGAAGUAGAUAUUAUUUGUCAACUUUAAAACCCGGCUUCUUAAUCAGUUUAGUAGAUUCGAAGAUACUUUUAUACCCUGUAUAUACACCCAGUCUCGCUACAUUUGGAGUUAAAGCGACUCCCCUAAUUUAUCUUCUUAAACGACCAAUGGGAUUUGAUUUAAAAAUUGGUAAACUACUGUUGACUAUAGAGAUACUUAAUGUAACCUUUAGAUAACUACUUAUUCUUAAAUUCAGACCAUUAUACAUAUUGUAUUGUUUGUAGCACAAUAAGAAAGGGAUUUACUUUUAUUGUUUUUGAUAAAUUAAUUAUCACAAUAAUUAUUCUAAUGCAAUUAUUUUGUAU
rnacentral:lncRNA from 1 species